CACGUAGGGCGCAAGCGUUGUCCGGAAUUACUGGGCGUAAAGAGCUCGUAGGUGGUUUGUCGCGUUGUCCGUGAAAACUCACAGCUCAACUGUGGGCGUGCGGGCGAUACGGGCAGACUGGAGUACUGCAGGGGAGACUGGAAUUCCUGGUGUAGCGGUGGAAUGCGCAGAUAUCAGGAGGAACACCGGUGGCGAAGGCGGGUCUCUGGGCAGUAACUGACGCUGAGGAGCGAAAGCGUGGGGGAGCGAACAGG
rnacentral:rRNA from 1 species